GAUGAAGAACGCAGCGAAAUGCGAUACGUAAUGUGAAUUGCAGAAUUCAGUGAAUCAUCGAGUCUUUGAACGCACAUUGCGCCCCCUGGUAUUCCGGGGGGCAUGCCUGUCCGAGCGUCAUUGCUGCCCUCAAGCACGGCUUGUGUGUUGGGCCUCCGUCCUCCUCCCGGGGGACGGGCCCGAAAGGCAGCGGCGGCACCGCGUCCGGUCCUCGAGCGUAUGGGGCUUCGUCACCCGCUCUUGUAGGCCCGGCCGGCGCUUGCCGACACAUCAUUCUUUUUUCCAGGUUGACCUCGGAUCAGGUAGGGAUACCCGCUGAACUUAAGCAUAUCAAUAAGCGGAGGA
rnacentral:misc_RNA from 1 species